GAGGUGGUCUUUUGCCUUUAUAUAAGCUGCCAAAAGAGAGAGGUUAGUGGAGAAGUCUUUAGACUUGUGAAACAUAUUGGAAUCUUUUGGAAUGAGGUCUUAUAAUGUCCUCACAAAGGCCAGAAAUGGCAUGCAUGCCCCUAAAUUCCAAAUUUUCUUCACGUGAAUACUGUGGCUGAAGUUUUCAUUAUGAGGAUUACCACAUGGCUGACCAUAAUAAUAUUAUUUUAUAGAAGUAGCAAGCAAUGUAAAGAACAUGAGAACCCAAAUAGAACAUGAAUAAAUUUAAUGAGCAUAUGACGGAUUGUGUACUAUAACACCGUUUAUUAAUGUUAUAAGGUCACAAUUACUCUCAAC
rnacentral:lncRNA from 1 species